GCUUAAUCUGAACUACUGUGUGGAGGAAACCCGAUUCAUAUUGAAGUGUUUUAAUCACGGCAACAACAUGAAGAUCAUUCAGCUUCAGCUCUAUGUCUUAAUCUGUUGUCAAGCUUCUUCAGUGGCAGAUCAACUAACUGAUUUGGGAUCAAAUGUGACCAUAAACUGUAAUCUUGAUGAAAAUGAGGUUUAUUGGAUUUUACUGAAAACACCAGAUCCUCCAACAUUGAUUCUACGAUCAUUCUCAACACCAAAGUCACCCUUUUACUAUAAUAAUACAUUCAGAAACAAAUAUUCAGUGCAAUUUAAACAUUGUCUGGUUAUAAAAAAUGUGACUGCUGAUGAAUUAGGAGUUUAUUACUGUAUGAAAACAGGCACACCUCCAAAACUCAGCAACAGCACCAGACUGUACAUCACCGGUGAGUUCAUUUACUCCUUCAGUGAUCAAGACAUGCUGAUGCUUACAUGUGUCAUUUACUACUUUCACUAUUUAGACACUUUCUUUACAGAAUCAACUCAACUAACUGAGUGUCACAAUCAUACAGUGGUGGAGUUUAUUGAUCAGAUUCAGACUGAACAUCAGAUUGUCGUCAUCAUAUCUGGUCUGAUGAACGGGCUGCUGGUCAUUGUGCUGAUGAUCGUUUUUGCAGUUAGAAAAACAGAACAUCUGGAAAAACAUGUUUAUAAUGCUGAUUUAUGGCUGACACAAGUUAUGUAUCAGCCUCGAGACCCAAACCAAUCAGG